rnacentral:rRNA from 1 species
UACGGGGGGGGCAAGCGUUGUUCGGAAUUACUGGGCGUAAAGGGCGUGCAGGCGGUUUGUUAAGUGCAGGGUGAAAGCUCCCGGCUCAACUGGGAGAGGUCCUUGCAUACUGGCGAACUCGAGGGAGGCAGAGGAAAGUGGAAUUCCCGGUGUAGUGGUGAUAUGCGUAGAUAUCGGGAGGAACACCUGUGGCGAAGGCGGCUUUCUGGGCCUUACCUGACGCUGAGACGCGAAAGCGUGGGGAGCGAACCGG